UACAGAGGGUGCAAGCGUUAAUCGGAAUUACUGGGCGUAAAGCGCGCGUAGGUGGUUUGUUAAGUUGGAUGUGAAAGCCCCGGGCUCAACCUUGGAACUGCAUCCAAAACUGGCAAGCUAGAGUACGGUAGAGGGUGGUGGAAUUUCCUGUGUAGCGGUGAAAUGCGUAGAUAUAGGAAGGAACACCAGUGGCGAAGGCGACCACCUGGACUGAUACUGACACUGAGGUGCGAAAGCGUGGGGAGCAAACAGG
rnacentral:rRNA from 1 species